rnacentral:rRNA from 1 species
GUCUCAGUUCGGAUUGGAGUCUGCAACCCGACUCCAUGAGGCUGGAUUCGCUAGUAAUCGCGCAUCAGCCACGGCGCGGUGAAUACGUUCCCGGGCCUUGUACACACCGCCCGUCAAGCCAUGGGAGCCGGGGGUGCCUGAAGGCCGUGACCGCGAGGAGCGGCCUAGGGUAAAACUGGUGACUGGGGCUAAGUCGUAACAAGGUAGC